CAACCAGGUUACUUAAUGUAUAGCCAAGGAUGACUUGCCGGUUAAUGAGAAAAAAAAAGGUCGAAAAUCGACGAGUUAUCUUUGGCUAUAUAUCUGUCUGGUUC
rnacentral:miRNA from 1 species